rnacentral:rRNA from 1 species
GCUAAUGACUGGUGAUGAGGGAGGGUAAUCUGUAGGGUUCAUUGGUUAAUGUGAAUGACUGAGCGUAAAGCGUGAGCAGUGGGUUCUGGAAGACAGGUGUGAAAUCCCCGGGCGUAACCUGUGAACUGAAUGUGAGACUGCAAGGCUGGAGUGCGGCAGAGGGGGAUGGAAUUCCGCGUGUAGCAGUGAAAUGCGUAGAUAUGCGGAGGAACACCGAUGGCGAAGGCAAUCCCCUGGGCCUGCACUGACGCUCAUGCACGAAAGCGUGGGGAGCAAACAGGAUUAGAUACCCGGGUAGUC